UGGGGAAUCUUGCGCAAUGGGCGAAAGCCUGACGCAGCGACGCCGCGUGGGGGAUGAAGGCCUUCGGGUUGUAAACCCCUUUCGGCAGGGAAGAAGCGAAAGUGACGGUACCUGCAGAAGAAGCCCCGGCUAACUACGUGCCAGCAGCCGCGGUAAGACGUAGGGGGCGAGCGUUGUCCGGAUUUAUUGGGCGUAAAGCGCGCGUAGGCGGCUCGUUAAGUCGGGGGUGAAAACCCGGAGCUCAACUCCGGGCCUGCCUCCGAUACUGGCGGGCUGGAGGCAGGUAGGGGAGAGUGGAAUUCCUGGUGUAGCGGUGAAAUGCGCAGAUAUCAGGAGGAACACCGGUGGCGAAGGCGGCUCUCUGGACCUGUCCUGACGCUCAGGCGCGAAAGCUAGGGGAGCAAACAG
rnacentral:rRNA from 1 species